CCCUUGGCUGGAAUCAAACCCGGGACCCUUCAGUCCACAGGCUGACGCUCUAUCCACUGAGCCAAACCAGCUAGGGCGCUCUGAUUUAUUCCUAAACAGGGGUUGACUCCCACCCUUGUUUUCAUGGACCAUCAUGUGGCUGCUACAGAGAACAGAUCCCGCGCCUCAGUCUCCCUCAUGUAGCAGGGGCCCGGACUGACUUGGAGAUGGGCAUGCCGCAGGAAGCGCCACGGAGCAAUGAUGGGCUGGCCCGGUCACAGGGGACAUCUUCACUCCGUGGGUGUGUGCUGGGGUUGGGGGAAGUCGAGAGAGGUUCUACUGUAGAGACGUGGAUCCUGGAGCCAGCCCUGCAUUCCCUGGCCAGAGAGCUGGGCACAGGCCUCUCUCCUGAACUAAUCAAUGGGGCUGCUUCUGGCUGUGCCUACCCUCAAGGUUAUUGCAAGGAUGAGUUGAGUUGAGGUGUGCAAACAUGUUUGCACGCAACUGUACCAUGAUUCACUCCAGGAUGUGUGCAUACUGUGCUAGCUACAGACUAGGCCAGGAAUCGUUAUUAUUCCUAAUAAAAUACGGCCAGUCUUCUUUGAAGGAC